GCAUGGGAAGUAACUGGCACUGCUGACUCCACAUAGAGAUUCAAUUCCACUUCCUUGUAGAGGGUCUCCUGCUACUGUUCAGGAUGGUUUGGCCAUACUCUGAGCAUGAUCUCUCUCAGCUCAUUGUCCACCCAAAAAAUCCACACCACAUGUAGGGAUGCUGGGUUGGGGUGGUUGAUCCUGUUCCUGUUCUGAGACAUUUUUCCGCAAACGGUUUUGGGUGAAUGGAUGGGAUAGUGGCGAAUCAAAUUUGUUUUGGCCACUAUGAAGCUAUCAGGAUCACUGUGACCCUGUGCAGGUUGAUUUUCCUGAGGAUACAAGGUAGCAGAGGAAUGGGAGGGAAGAUGUACGUCAGCGGGUCCGACCAUUGCACUAGGAAGGUGUUCCUUGGAGUUGAGGCCCUGGGUUGCUCAAGACCAAUAGGUCACUUCUUGUUUCCCUGGGUUGUGGAGCAGUCCCAGGAUGGGAAGCCCCAUUGAUGAGAGAUGUACUGCAGUACUGAAGAAUGGAGCUCCCACUCAUGAUCCGGGUGGAAAUGCAUGCUGUCCACUCGGGAGUUCAUUACUCCUGGAAUAUAUACUGACAAGAGGGUAAUCUGAUGCUGGGUGCACUGAUUCCAGAGCUAGAUUGCUUCCCUGAAGAGUGGCGUGGAUCUUACUCUCCCAUUUGUUUACGUAAUAGACAGUAAUCAUAUUCCCAUCUGACCUGGACAUACAUGGACAAAAUAAGGGAUAGGAACAUCUUGCAUGCUUUUUGGACUAUCUGAAGCUCAAGAAGAUUGAUAUGCAGCUUGGACUUCUGCGGGGACCAAGAACCCUGAGCAGUCUGGUCAUCUAGGUGAACUAUGUCAGGACGUUCUGGGAAGCAAGACUCAUUUAACCAGGGAGUCGCUGCUAGGGGCACAGACUGUCCGCAGCCAGGUUUGGAGGCACCAAAGAUGAAGCAUUGUGAAGGAGGUUACGAAGGUGAACACGGCACUAUGACCAAGUAGGACCAAGCAGUACUGGACUGUCAUCUGAGGGCUGAGUUGAAGCUGGGUGAGAAGGUCCGUCAUGGCAAGGAAUCUGUCCUGAGCUGAAGAUCGAGCGGGAGCCCUGGAAAGGCUACAGACACAGAAGGGUUCUGUCCCAGACCGUGAGUGGUAGAAAGGACCUGGAGAGGUGGUUGGUCCAUGCCACCCUUUAUCCCCUUGGUUCACAACACGAGGAGGGGAAGAGUGCUGGCACAGACCAAUGGACACUGCUAUUGAAAAAUCUUCCCUUUCCAAAUGCAUGGAGCACAUGCACACCCACAGUGACUAUACAUAGAGUCCAGCACUUGAAAAAGGACCAACAGGAAUCAAUGAACAACACUUGAAUGUCCAAAUUAGGUUCUUAAGGUGUCGAGGUGUCUUUGGGACUGAUUCACUGGUGCCCUGUAGCCACUCUGCACUGAAGAGGGCUAAGAGGGGCCUUUAUGAGAUUCUAGUGAAUAACUCUGAAGUUUUGCUGCUCUGGGGAAUUGUAUGUAACUAUCAAAGGCAUUAACACAAUCCUGGCUCUUUUACUGGGUCUCUGUUGAGUGUUUGCUGACCCACCACCAUCUCCUCACCCUUAUAUAAGCAAGGACUCCUUGCACUGACCCUUUUCGCAUCUCAGCCUUAUUUUCUGCCUGAUUUAUCUGGUGUGUAC